rnacentral:lncRNA from 1 species
AAAUUGGAUAAUAUAUGUGUUUAUCUGAAGAAUGGGUUUUUCCAGUAAACUCUUUGAAAGAUCUCAGCUGAAGGCAACACAGAUCUUAUUAAGAUCAGAACUACAAAAAGAGAAAAAAUAAUCAAGCUCUGGAACAAAAUAUAUAUAUAUAUCCCUAUCUAAUCUCUUCUGUUUUGUUUUGGCUUCAUACAUUCAACCUCAUUCUGCCACUGGCAUUGACUUGUAUUCUGAGUUUUGUUA